rnacentral:rRNA from 1 species
CCUACGGGAGGCAGCAGUGAGGAAUAUUGGACAAUGGUCGAAAGACUGAUCCAGCCAUGCCGCGUGCAGGAAGACGGCCCUAUGGGUUGUAAACUGCUUUUGUUUGGGAAGAAACCUUUCUACGUGUAGAAAGCUGACGGUACCAUACGAAUAAGCACCGGCUAACUCCGUGCCAGCAGCCGCGGUAAUACGGAGGGUGCAAGCGUUAUCCGGAUUUAUUGGGUUUAAAGGGUCCGUAGGCGGACUUAUAAGUCAGUGGUGAAAUCCUGCAGCUCAACUGUAGAACUGCCAUUGAUACUGUAAGUCUUGAAUUCGGUUGAAGUGGGCGGAAUAUGGCAUGUAGCGGUGAAAUGCUUAGAUAUGCCAUAGAACACCGAUUGCGUAGGCAGCUCACUAAGCCUGGAUUGACGCUGAGGGACGAAAGCGUGGGUAGCGAACAGGAUUUAGAUACCCUGGUAGUCCCACGACCGUAACGAUAGAUACUCGACAUAGUCGAUACUACGGUUAGUAGUCUAUAAG